AAGGAAACAAGGAUUCAUAGGUUUUUUAUUCUAAAGUAGAUUUCACCAAAACAUGCAAAGAGCAUGGCCAUAAACAUACUCCUUUUUCAGAGGGGAAAUUUAGUUCAUUCACUUGAUACAGGCCAGUAGAAUUAACAUCAUGUGCUACAAACUGUGCUGAAGAUGUAGAUUCGAUAGGGUAUUAGGGGCUUUAGGGCAAGAAACAAAUUCUCAAGAUUUAAAGAGAGAGAACCAAAUUCUCUAAAUUCUUGGCUUCGAUUGGAAAAUAUCAUUUAUAAUGAAAGUAUUUAAUUUAAUUCUCACACAAUCACAUAAUUUUUGGGAUAAUUUCUAUUUCUUUUAAAAUGA
rnacentral:misc_RNA from 1 species